rnacentral:rRNA from 1 species
GUAGUAGUGGGUGUAAUGUACCCCCUAGCCGACGACGGGUAUGGGCCUUGAGAGAGGGAGCCCAGAGUUGGAUUCUGAGACACGAAUCCAGGCCCUACGGGGCGCAGCAGUCGCGAAAACUUCACACUGGGGGCAACCCCGAUGAGGGAAUUCCUAGUGCUAGUACAUUAGUAUUAGCUUUUCUUUAGUAUAGAACGCUAAAGGAAUAAGGGCUGGGUAAGACGGGUGCCAGCCGCCGCGGUAAUACCCGCAGCCCAAGUGGUGGUCGAUUUUAUUGAGUCUAAAACGUUCGUAGCCGGUCUGGUAAAUCCUUGGGUAAAUCGGGGAGCUCAACUUUCCGAAUUCCGAGGAGACUGCCAGACUUGGGACCGGGAGAGGCUAGAGGUACUUCUGGGGUAGGGGUAAAAUCCUGUAAUCCUAGAAGGACCACCGGUGGCGAAGGCGUCUAGCUAGAACGGAUCCGACGGUGAGGGACGAAGCCCUGGGUCGCAAACGGGAUUAGAUACCCCGGUAGUCCAGGGUGUAAACGCUGCAGACUUGGUGUUGGAGGCCCUUAAAGGAAUUGGCGGGGGAGCACCGCAACGGGAGGAGCGUGCGGUUUAAUUGGAUUCAACACCGGAAAACUCACCAAGGGCGACCAUUACAUGAAAGCCAGGCUAAUGACCUUGCUAGAUUUUUGGAGAGGUGGUGCAUGGCCGUCGUCAGUUCGUACCGUAAGGCGUUCUCUUAAGUGAGAUAACGAACGAGACCCUCACUGAUAAUUGCUAAUCUAUUCUCCGGAGUAGAUGCACAUUAUUGGGACCGCUGACGCUAAGUCAGAGGAAGGAGAGGUCAACGGUAGGUCAGUAUGCCCCGAAUCUCUUGGGCUACACGCGCGCUACAAAGGGCGGGACAAUGGGCUCCGACGCCGAAAGGCGAAGGCAAUCUCGAAACCCGUCCGUAGUUCGGAUUGUGGGUUGUAACUCACCCACAUGAAGCUGGAUUCCGUAGUAAUCGCGAAUCAACAACUCGCGGUGAAUAUGCCCCUGCUCCUUGCACACACCGCCCGUCACACCAUCCGAGUUGGGU